rnacentral:rRNA from 1 species
AUUGAACGCUGGCGGCAGGCCUAACACAUGCAAGUCGAGCGAGCGGCGGACGGGUGAGUAAUGUAUGGGGACUGCCCGAUAGAGGGGGAUAACUACUGGAAACGGUGGCUAAUACCGCAUACUAUCGGAUAACCCAUAUGGUAUUAGCUAGUUGGUGGGGUAAAGGCUCACACAGGCGACGAUCUCUAGCUGGGCUGAGAGGAUGAUCAGCCAGACUGGAACUGAGACACGGCCCGGACUCCUACGGAGGCAGCAGUGGGGAAUAUUGCACAAGGGGCGCAAGCCUGAUGCAGCCAUGCCGCGUGUAUGAAGAAGGCCUUAGGGUUGUAAAGUACUUUCAGCGGGGAGGCGGGAACCGAAGAAGAAGCACCGGCUAACUCCGUGCCAGCAGCCGCGGUAAUAA